rnacentral:rRNA from 1 species
GAUGAACGCUGGCGGCGUGCCUAACACAUGCAAGUUGAGCGACGAACCCGGACUUGUCCGGGGGCAAAGCAGCGAACGGGUGAGUAACACGUGGAUUAUCUGCCCAAUGACCGGGACAACUCGAGGAAACUCGAGCUAAUACCGGAUGUGCUCUUCGGAGGAAAGGAAGCUUCGGCCUCCGCAUUGGGAUGAGUCCGCGGCGCAUUAGCUAGUUGGUGGGGUAAAGGCCUACCAAGGCGACGAUGCGUAGCUGGUCUGAGAGGACGAUCAGCCACACUGGAACUGAGACACGGUCCAGACUCCUACGGGAGGCAGCAGUGGGGAAUCUUGCGCAAUGCACGAAAGUGUGACGCAGCAACGCCGCGUGCGGGAAGAAGGUCUUCGG